rnacentral:rRNA from 1 species
GAAACUAAAAUAAUUUGGCGGCAAUUUAAUUUUUUAGAGGAAUUUGUUUCGUAAUCGAUAGUCCGCGAUUAAUGUACUUUGUUUUAUUUAGCUUAUAUACCGUUGUUAGGAGAAUAUGUUUUUAGGUAAUUUUCUUUAWAUCAUUGAGAUUUAAUUUCAGAUCAAGGUUUAGUAGAUAGUAAAGUGAUAAUGGAUUACAAUAAAAGUAUUUAAACGGAUCUUUAUUUCUAUGAAUAAGGUGAAGGUGGAUUUGAGAGUAAGUUGAUUAAUCUGGUUAAUUGAAGUAAUAAUCUAUAUUGUGC